GUGUCAGCAGCCGCGGUAAUACAGAGGGUGCGAGCGUUAAUCGGAGUUACUGGGCGUAAAGGGCGCGUAGGCGGUUAUAUAAGUGAGAUGUGAAAACCCUGGGCUUAACCUGGGACGUGCAUCUUAUACUGUGUAGCUAGAGUACUGUAGAGGGUAGUGGAAUUUCCGGUGUAGCGGUGAAAUGCGUAGAGAUCGGAAGGAACACCAGUGGCGAAGGCGGCUACCUGGACAGAUACUGACGCUGAGGCGCGAGAGCGUGGGGAGCAAACAGGAUUAGAUACCCCGGUAGUCC
rnacentral:rRNA from 1 species